rnacentral:lncRNA from 1 species
AUGGAGAAAGUUGAAUUUGGAGAAGUCCUUGUGGCGAUGAUGGUCUGUGAUACAUUCAGCUUGCAUAUCCAACACUCACACGUAGAGUGGAAAUAUGGUCACAGGGAAAUGUCAGUUUUAUUCAGAAGGCUGUCACAGUCCAGAGAGAGGAACCAGGCGAUGGCUGAAUCUACAUAUAGAAGAAUUUAAUGAGAGAGCAGAAGUCAUUCUGUAAAACUGUCAAUGGAUUAGUGCUUGCAAGACCCAGACAAGGAUUUGGCAUUCAGAGACGACAUUUAUUCUCCUGAGAUGAGGACAAGAUUUCUGCAGUGGUGUGAAUUUCUGCACAGGUAUGUAAUAGAUGAUCCCUGUCCCAAAGGACUCUGUCCUGUUAUUGAUGAGGGCACAGCAUCCCAUUUCCAGGGGUCAUGAUACAAGAACCUCUAUUAAUAGGAAAAAUAAAUACCUACUGCUGUUGUUUAUAUUUAUUUGC